ACGUAGGGGGCGAGCGUUAUUCGGAAUUACUGGGUGUAAAGGGUAUGUAGGCGGCCCUUCAAGUCGCGUGUCAAAGUCCAGUGCUCAACGCUGGGAGUGCACCUGAUACUGACAGGCUUGAGGGUUGGAGAGGUGAGCGGAAUUCCCGGUGUAGCGGUGAAAUGCGUAGAGAUCGGGAGGAACACCGGUGGCGAAGGCGGCCCCCUGGACAAAUACUGACGCUAAGGUGCGAAAGCGUGGGGAGCAAACAG
rnacentral:rRNA from 1 species